CUAUAGCUCAGUUGGUAGGGAUCGGCUCUCAGAUGCAGGAGGUUUUGAGGUUCGAAUCCCAGA
rnacentral:tRNA from 1 species